UAAGAGAGAGAGAGAAAGCAGCUGAGAGUGAGAGAGAGGGGUCCCCCCACCUCUAAUAAAGGCCAUUUUGCAUAAAAGCCCCUCAACUUUCACCCUAGUGCACUACCCUCACUGGGCAGUUUUCGCGCGGAGGGACCGGUCUCCCCGACUUGGGACCGGUCCCCGAAGGCUGCCAUUUCGAGCAGAGGGAUUUUCGCGUUCGGGAACCGGUCCUUGCCUGAGAGACCGGUCCCCGGGAGACCGGUCCUUGUCCGAGAGACCGGUUCCCGAGAGCUGCAUUCUCGGGACUUAGCCAAAUUUGGCUAAAUCUCGCCAGGCCAACGUUCGGGAACCGGUCCCUGCCCAUCAGGGACCGGUCUCAUCAGAGACCUCCGCAACCCAGCCUGAUGGAACCGAUCCCUCCCUGCUAGGGACCGGUCCCCGAGAGCAUUUCUGCUCCAGUGCAGCUUUUGCACUGGUGCUCCCGCGGACCCUUCUUUAAUGCACUUUAUGCAUUAUAAUCGCCUUCGGACUUUCCGAAGCCUACACCCUCGACGAAUAGUCGAUUCUAAUCGAAGUCUAAUCCUCGAGUU
rnacentral:lncRNA from 1 species